GUUGAAGCCAUGGGGAGCAGUAAGCAGCACCCUCCAUGGCCUCUGCAUCAGUCCCUGCCUCCAUUUGAGUUCCUAUUCUGACUUCCUUCGAUGAUGAACAGUGAUGUAAAAGUGCCUUGAGCUAUGGAGAUGAAUAAAACCCAAAGGCCCUCCUUCUCGUAUGCUGCAUAGAUUCCAGCUGGGAGAAAAGAAAACAAAAGAACAGGAGAUAAGAAACCAGCAUGCUGAAAACAAAAGCAAGGCAAUUUGAUGAAGAGGAAGAGGAAGGACCACACUUUUCCAAAUAUUUUCCUAGUAACUCGAGAUACCUUGCUCAUCAGGUGACAAUGGGGGAAGCCUUACCCGGAUGAUCAAAGUUUUAUCAACCACUCAGGGAAAGUAGCAACAGCUAUGCUAUGCUAU
rnacentral:lncRNA from 1 species